GCUAGUAAACUGGGGGCCGGGGGCCGGGGGCCGGGGGCCGGGGCCGGGGGCCGGGGGCCGGGGGUGGGGGGUGGGGGGUGUCACGGCGCGGCAGGGAGGCCGCGCAUGCUCCCUGGCGGGUUUCUGAAAAGCAGGUUCAGCGAGUGGCGCGGCGGCUCCCCCUCCGCUAGGACGGCCCCGGGGUUCCACGUUGGGGUGGUUCUGUGGUUCUGGUCCGGCCCGGGGGUACCGCCGGGGCUGGGGGCGGGAAGGCGGGGCGGAGAAGCGCUGGAGGCCGCGGCGGGCACAGGGCCCCUUGGCCGCGGCUCCCUUCGGUGCUGAGGGUCCGGCGGCCGCGGCCUGCGCAGGUCUCCUGCGCCCUUAGGCGCUGUGUGUGUGCCGCUGGGGUCUUGUCGCCAUCCUGCCUCGGUGUGCUUUCCUGAGCGCUCUGGGGGCCCUGCGGUGGUUGCUUUAGGAUGCAUCAGGGAGAAAAUAAGUUUUCAGCAGCAGUGUUUUCUUAGACUCGGGCUCAGUGGGCUGGGCCCAGCCUGGUUGCCCAAUGCGGUGGUGCACGGAUUCCAGGAAAGGAACUGCAUAAGCUUCUAGUAAAGCCUCACCGGCUUAGAACGUUCCAGAGGAGAGGUCAUGGUGGAGGGCAGGCUUUGCUUUUUUUCUUUUUAAAAUUUUAUUUAAACACAGUCACAGGGUGAGAGAGAGAGAAAGGUCUUCCAUCUGCUGAUUCACUCCCCAGAUGGCCACACUGCAGCGGCUGGGUCAGGAGCCAGAAGCUUCUGGGUCUGCCGUCUGGGUGACAGCAGUCUAAGCCCUUGGGCCAUCUUCCGCUGCUUGCCCAGGCCUUUAGCAGGCAGCUGGAUCGGAAGUGGAGCAGCCAGGACUCAAGACAGGUGCGCGUAUAGGAUGCUGUGUGGCCGGUGGAUGCUUUACCCACUGCAGCACAGCGCAAGCCCAGGGGCAGACUUUUCAAACCACCUGGUGUAACCCUCGUAUUCAAUAUUAAAAUUUCUUACUCCCUCCACCAUAUUUGAUAGAAAAGCACACGUUGUCAGGGCCAGUACUGCUUUAGUAGCGCCUCCCAGGGCCUUCACCACCUCUCCCCUGGCCAUGUGGUUUUAGACAGGUGGUCUCCACUGCUGCCUGGGCUCAGAGAAAGGCUGUGAAAGGCAAGGAGAUACAGAGCUGAAGGUCAAGGCCAGUUAUGGCACUGUCAGAGGCCUCAACACAGGUCUGACUCAGUGUUCAGUGUCUGCUGCAGCUUUUUAUCCGAGAAAAACAAUGAGCUCAGCAAAGCAUCGGAAAAAAAUUAUCUCUGCCACCCAACUUGGCUUCACUCAAUGCUCUAAGCGUUCACCUUCCAAAAUACUUCAUUUUCGGUAUUCUGUUUUCCAAACAAAACUUUUAUGAGAAAUAAUUGGGUGGACUUUUAAGUAGCACUCAACAGCCACCCAAGGGAUUACAGCAUUCUGAGAGGAGGGAGGGAGAAACAGAUGGGCAUGGUGCAUUUAUGCAGUUUGCAGAGGGCUCUAGAAGAAAAUCAACAUUAUUAAGAAAAGUCGACUCUGCACGUUUGUGACUUCAGAAAGCCUGUUGUGUGUUGCAGCCUCUGUGGGUUGUGUUCCAGUUGCUUCCUGCAGGUUCCAUUUCACCAACACAGCUGCGUUUUACCGGUGAGGAAGCAGAUGGACAGAUGGACUUACCAGAACAGUGUAGACGAUAAGGGUCCAGGCCAGAAUCCAAACCUACUUUGGUUCCAAAACCUUGUCUGCUCUUACACUGUUGUAUUGGAAUCAGCAAACAAUUUAUUUUUAAUUAAUUUAUUUGAAAGGCAGAGUUACAGAGAGGGAGAGACAGAGACCUUCCAUCUGUUGGGUCACUCCCCAGAUAGCCACGAAGGCCGGAGGUGGGCUGGUCCAGAGCCAGGAGCUUCUUGGGCCAUCUUCUGCUGCUUUCCCCAGCAUGUUAGCGGAGUGCUGGAUUGGAACUGGAACAGCCAGGACUCAAACCAGUGCCCAAAACCCCUACACCAUGACGCUGGCUUCUAAAGUCUUUUUGGGGAGAGAGAAUUGGAAGUCAUUCAGGAAUCCAGGGUUCUGAGAGGCGGCUCAGAGCCUUUAUGAGCCUUGAUCUAUCAAAAGCUGGGUAUGCUAUCUCAGCCGUGUCGCUGCACUCUCCAAGGUCUCAGUUCCAUGUUGAUCAAAAAGAAUUUGGGUCUAAAAUAGCCUCUCCAGGGCUUUCCAGAUUCAAAACAAUAAAUGUAUGUAGUUACAUUCAAAACAACAAGGAUAAUGGAAAAAUGGGUCUGUGAUUUUGGUAGAGCAAGAGAACACAGUUGUCAGCCUUGUCCCAAGAACCACACAGUGGUUACCAGAGAUGUCCCUGUCCUUGUGCAAGGCAGAAUUCAGCCGUGAGACGGAGGAGUGGGAAGGAAGUGGCAGGGUUUAAUGGGGUGGGACCCCCCGUCAGUGUGGAUGGGCCCCUCCCCAGGAGGAAUGGGGGAUGCCCACUUGACAUUUAGACUAGGGUCUAUUAAGGCCUGCCUCUUCCCGCCAUUUCUCCUUCCCCUCCUCCCUCUUCUGGACAAAGGGCUUGCUGAGUGUGAAAUGGGUAAAGUUCCUUGCAAGGUUUUCUUGCCCAGUGUUACCAGACAGAAGAUCCCCCUCCCUUCGGGGGAGGCUGGGACCACCUCUGAAGCUGCUGGGGUGUGAGGAGGCCUGUGUGGGGUAAGCUGUGCAUUCCUCUCCACAGGUGCUUUGUUUUCCUUAGGCCCCUCACACACAGGCUAAUUCCAACUUCUAGGUAAACGGUGACUAAGUGGUCACAGUGUUUAAUGAGUUGGGGACUGCUUAGUACUCAGAAGUAGACUGAGAAAAUGUCAUCCAUCACUUAGAAGGAGGUUUCUAUGUGAUAAAUGCUUUGAAAGUGGCACAGCUGUCUCUGUGCAGGGGUUAAGGAGGGAGAAAAGGAACAUGACAGUUGGGAUGGCGGAGACUAGUGGCCCAGCAAUUGUGCGAAAUCUGACCUGAGUAUCAACACAAUAGGGCAGGAAACAUGGGAAGAGGUUAAGGAUGGUGUGGGUAAAGGUGUGAGGUCAGCAAAGCUCGGGCGAUGCCCAAGAUAGUUUAGUUCAGGCAGGGUGAGGGGUACUGCGUUGGGGCAACGGAAGAAGCAACAAGGCAGGCUGGAAAGAGGCUUAGAGCCAGGCCCACUUUAGAUGUUGCCUACCUGAUGCUGAAAUGGGAGUGACCUGGUGAGCCAAGACCCAGCCUAGCUGACUACACACUAGUCCAGGUGUUGAAAGUUAGAGAGCGGAAGUGUGUUUCAUUUUAGUUUUAACGGAACAGUCCUACUACUCUGACAAAAAACCUUGGUCCAAAUAUUGUGUGUGUUGGGGGGGGGGGGGGUUUCAUGUCUGCUCUGAUCCAAGAAACCUCAAGGGAAGAACCAAAGGUCUUGGGUACUGAUUAGAUAAAGAGAAAGAAAAACAAGGGUGGAAGAUGACUCAGAAAUUUGUCCUCUGAGAUAAGGGGCCCUAUGUCAAAGAACUGGCCACUCCACGGUGAGGAAUGCCUUCUUUUAGGAAAGAAAGAACAGGUUUGGCUUUAUGUGUGUUGCAUGUAAAAUGUGUUGGUACAGUGUCUGGGCAGGCAGGACCCAGCUGGGGAGGGAUGCAGGCGAAGCUGAAGGCCAGGAAACGGAACAGAGCAAAUGAAACGCAGGGGCCCCGGGCUGUCACCGGAAACCGAGGUAGAGAAAGCGGCAGAGGGAGGAGACAGCCAGCUUCCUGAAAGCCGAGGACCAGCCAGAUGGCACGGCCCCCCUUGUGGGGCAGCUGGUGUUGAGGGGCGUUAAGUAAGGAGCCCCAAACCACAAGGCUUAUGAGGACACAGCAGGGCCUGGACACCUGGAUGCCUCUGUUGAUGGCCCAGCCAUUGCUGUUUUGCAAACCCUGCUCAUUUAGUACUCGGUCAGCUCCUCACCCAAGGAACCAUUCCCCACCUAAAAAGCCAAGAAAAAGCAGAAACCUUGUGUUUAGGUAUUUUUGUCAUGCAGCUGCAAGUACAGCUUUGCAGAAUUUGUGAAGUGCAUUUUGUAAAAAUCAAUGGAAACAUCAAGCAGACUACUAUUUCUUAUUUUUUUUAAAGAUUUAUUUAUUUAUUUGAAAGAGUUAUACAGAGAGAGGAGAGGCAGAGAGAGAGAGAGAGGUCUUCCAUCUGCUGGUUCACUCCCCAAUUGGCCACAAUAGCCGGAGCUGCUCCGAUCCGGAGCCAGGAGCCAGGAGCUUUUCUGGAUCUCCAUGCAGGUGCAGGGGCCCAAGGGCUUGGGCCAUCUUCUACUGCUUUCUGAGGCCACAGCAGAGAGCUGGAUCAGAAGAGGAACAGCCUGGACUAGAACUGGCACCCAUAUGGAAUGCUGGCCUUUCAGGCCAGGGCAUUAACCCACUGCGCCACAGAGCCAGCCUCCAGACUACUAUUUCUUAUAAAGGAGUUUUACUUGCCAAGAACUUGCUAAUCAACGAGUUAGUGAAGGCAGCAGGAGCUGGAAGGAAGAGUACAGAUUGUGGUGCCUCACAUGGGGCACCACAAAGUAAGAAAAAGGGCGUAGAACAGAGAGGAGACAGAAUAUGAACUCGCAGCCAGACCGAAUUUAUUCAGGGAAAAUAAACUGCACAGGUCGAUCAUCUGCCGUCAUGCUCACAUCCCGAACACGUGGCAGAGGCUCAGAGCCCAGCAGACUGGGCCCUUUAAUCUCUUAGGUGGGCUAGGGGUGGGGGUGGGGGUCAGUAGGUGGAGAUGAGCUUCUCCAUACUGGUUCUUCAAGUGUGGCCCACUGGCUUGCAAACCCGGGGAAGAAUGCAAGGGGUGGGGUGGGGAACAGUAUAGGAUGUGAGGCUGAACUUGAAAGAAGGCAGGGGGAACAAGAACCUGAAAUGGCUGAGGCUUCUGUCCUUGUUCCAUCAGGCUUGGUUUUUUGUUUUAAGUAGGUGAAGGUUCAGCGAUAUUUACUAAAAGGGCCCCAAUGCCGUGUGCCUUUGUCACCUGCUGGAAGGGCACCUUGACCUGGAUCUGGCUGCUCUGUGUGUGAGAAGGUCUGAGCAGCCAAAUGCAAGUGUAACUUGACUCACGUGAGCAAAUGUUUCUUUGCAAAGCCUUCAUUUUCUUUUUUUUGUUUGUUUUGUUUUGUUUUAUUUUUUAUUUUUUUGACAGGCAGAGUGGACAGUGAGAGAGAGAGAGACAGAGAGAAAGGUCUUCCUUUGCCGUUGGUUCACCCUCCAAUGGCCGCCGCGGCCGGCGCGCUGCGGUCGGCGCACCACACUGAUCCGAUGGCAGGAGCCAGGAGCCAGGUGCUUUUCCUGGUCUCCCAUGGGGUGCAGGGCCCAAGCACCUGGGCCAUCCUCCACUGCACUCCUUGGCCACAGCAGAGAGCUGGCCUGGAAGAGGGGCAACCGGGACAGAAUCCGGCGCCCCAACCGGGACUAGAACCCAGUGUGCCGGCGCCGCUAGGCGGAGGAUUAGCCUAGUGAGCCGCGGCGCCAGCCUACAAAGCCUUCAUUUUCUAAGACUGCAGUGAAUUUUUGCUGUCAAAGUAGACGUAGAGGCAGAAGCAAGACUGUGUGGGUACAUGAGUGAAGGUGUAAUAGGAGAUGCUUUGGGGGGCCCGGUACGGACACCGUUGCUCCUGUGUGGCCCAGUAUCAAACUGCUGGGUGACACAGCUUCCUCUAUCCCCAGAGGUGUGAUAGUACUGCCUAUCCCAUAGGGUUUGUGAACACUAAGGGAGACUGUGCAAGCAAAGCAUUUGGCUCGUGGCUGGUCCCAACAAAUACCACUGUUGCCCAACAGAUAGCAGCAGCACUGAAUAUCAAUGACUGACAUGGAUGAACAUUUAUUUCAUAUGCUUGGACUGGCCCACUUUUCAUAUAAUCCAUACCAAGAGUGUGCCAUGAUACACAUGUGCCUGAAACAUCUGUAAAAGAAGGAAAAUGUUCAAAUGAGAUACUAACAGAGCUGAGAUCAUCUAGCUGUUUUUCUUCUUUCUCCACCCAGUGCAGUUCGUUUUUUUGGCUAAGUUUAGGUCAUUUGCAAAGACUCAGAAUUAUUUAAACAUUGGACUCUUUCCCUACCUCCACUGAAGUCCCAUCUGCUUUGUUUGCCCUGAUUUAUGAUCAUGCAAGUGAAGAAGCCGAUUUGCAGUCUGAGCUCAUUCGAAUUGCGAGGGGAGAGGCAGGGAAGAAUUUCCGUUUAGGGAUCACCCAUGUGCCACUCUCAUUUUGAGUCCUAACCUGAAUUAACCUGCUGUGUCCCACCAUCCUAUAUAUAGGACACCUAUGGACAUUUAAAUUGAGCAGUAAAUUUACCCGUUAAUGGUAACUUCACACCUGUGUCAAUUUUGUUGGCCAUAUCUGCAGAAUUGAAAAUGUGGGACUUGUUGGGUUAGCUAUCACAGCCAUGCCUUGUAAGCCACUGUUCCAUCCAUUUUCACGUGACGAAACAGACGUCGGAAGAUGAAGCAAACAAUACAGAUGCUAAAGCCAAUGUGGCUUGAACCCAGAUGUGGGUGGCUUUACAAUUCUGCUCCUCCCCUUAUGUGUAUUGUAUCUUUUGAUGCAUAAGAAAAGUGAAAUGUUCCUGGAUAUUUCUCAGAAGAAUUCAUUAGUGGGUAUUUUCCUGGUACUUUUCUUUCAGUUGUCAACCAAAAGCCAUUAACUAAAUGGCGAGCAUUUCCCCAGGACGCAUCAUCCUGUCUCCUACAGCCAGUGGUGUGCUGGGAGGAAGAUCUGCUCUGGAGAUGACCCAUGGACCUGUUAACCCAGGGCUGGGCUCAUCAUGCUUGAGGGCAGGAUCCUCAGGAACUCAUCAUCCCACCCCUUAGUACCUCGCAGUGGGGAUUAAAUUUCAACCUGAGCUUUGGUGGGGACACUGAAACCAUGGCAACUGAAAUCCCACUUAAUCUCCUUGGUAAAGAAGGUGAAAUUCACAUGCAUUUUGCAUACUUGAAGAAAGCCAAAGAAUAAUGGAAUUACAGCCUGGAAAGAAACUGCAGAGUUCCUCUCACCCCAUCGCUUCAUUUUACAGCAGCUGACGUGGGGCUGAAACCCAUCUGUGCUUUGGUUCUUCCAGCCUGUGCGGUCUGAUCACUUCCCCCUGCCUCCAUCACAGAACUGGGCUGAGGAUCGAUGAGGAAGGAGGGACCCAGGAGAUGUGUGUAGGAAAAAAUUAGAAGAGGUAAUGGAAGAAAGAGCCUUUUGAUAUUAUUGAAGCCAAGUGGGAGAGAACUGGAAACCAUCGCACGGCUCAUACUCCAAGCCCUGGGAGAGAAGCCAUAUAUUGAAGCUCAGUUAACAUUUGUGGAAUCAAUGAAGGAGCAAGCCCGUGUGUGUAACCUCUGUCUCGAAGGAUACAGAGCCAAAUAUCUGAUUCCUGUGCCCAAGGAGCGUGGAGGGGUUAAUCCUGGACCCUUGGGUGACUCCGAGGGACAUUUCGAGCUGGUUUCUUCCAAAGGGAGCGCUGGCUGAUUAGAGGGAACUUCAGGGCCGGCUGGCAUUGUGGCGUGGUGUGUUAAAAUGCUGCCUGCAACACUGUCAUCCCAUGUGAGUGCUGGUUCGAGUCCCGGCUGUUCCACUUCUGAUCCAGCUCUCUGCCAUGGCCUGGGAAAGCUGUAGAAGAUGGCUCAAGGCUUGGGACCCUGCACCCACGUGGGAGACCCAGAAGAAGCUCCUGGCUCCUGGCUUUGGCCUGGCCCAGCCUGGGUAUUGCAACCAUUUGGGAAGUGAACCAGUAGAUGAAAAGACCUCUCUCUGUUUCUGCCUCACUCUGUAACUCUGCCUUUCAACUAAAUAAAAAUAAAUCUUAAAAAAAAAAAAGUUCCCCAAUGACUACAACUCUGUUUUUCUAUAUUACCAACAUUGCUAUUCUGAUUAUCGUAAUCUCCAGAGAUCCACUGGACCCUGCCCAUCAUCUUGGAAGUGCACCCAAUCAGCUUGGAUUAUCCCUAGACAAGCUCUGGGUUAGCAGUCAGAGACCAGGUUACCAAAAUUCUCUUCCCUUUGGUAGCCCUAAACAAAUUGUAGCAAUAGCUGAGAACCCCAGGUUAGACAUGCCCCCAGAUAGUGUUCACAGCAUUUCGUGUGGAUGGGUACUGGUCUUCCACCUCUGGGUAAGGCAGGGCUCUGGAAUUACCAUCUUCCCACCAUCCCGAAUCACUCACAAUGGAUAGAAAGGGCAUGAUGAGCCCUGUGGUCACUUUAGAUGGUUCUCCCACACAAAUUGUGCAGUUUGGAGUAGGGAAAGCCCUGGGGGCUAGGCGACAGCAAGGAGUGUUGGGAGGCUGUGAAAAUCAGGUCCUGAGAGAGAGAGAGAGUGAGAGAGCCGCCAGCAGAACUUCUGCUAAUGAGCCCCCAAGGGUUGCCACCUCCUAGAGGGGUAGCUCAGUCCUCUCUCUGUGCCAUAUUGUCCAGGGGCAGUGAACAGUGGCCAUCAACUAGACGCAGCCAGUGCUAUGAUAAAGGAAACAGACUGACAGCAGAUGAUGUUGCGCCCUUCCCUUUGGAGGACCGGGAGCACUGCUCUAUCAUGUCGGUGAUGGCAUUUCAGGUCCUAGGGGACGGGAGUGAGCUGGGGAGUCCUGGUCUCCAGGGCGCCAGGGAUCUCAGGAUGAGAUGCCACACAGGGACUUGGGUGGCAAUAAGUAGCCGCAUAACUGGGGCCACGAAACAACGGAAUUACACCUUGCCAGAUACAGCCCCCUGUUCCCUGUCAUCACGCUACCCUAGGCCCUGCAACGUUGGCCUGGCUUCCUAGCUGGGAGGCAGCAGGUCAGCAAACUGUCAGCAAGGCCUGGCCUUUCCAGGCCCUCGCCCUCAGCUCCCCAGGGACGUUCUUCUCCUCACUUAGCACCCAUUCCAGUGCCUGCCCCAGGCUUUGUCGCGAGCCGGGACUGCUCAAGGAUAACACUCUGGACCAUGACAUGUGCCUUUCCAGUUGUCCAUUCUCGGCCUCCUGUGCUGGACACGUCGUGUAACUUCACUGCCCUCUCCCUCGUCUGCAGCUUUUUCCUUCCCCCCCUCCAACUGAUCCAGGGAGGCACCAGGCCAGCCUUGCACUAAUAUCCCAAGCACCUUUGUUCCUUCAUCCGAAUCCCAGCCUUGGAAGGAACAGGGAUCUGCUGUUCCUGUCACCAGAGCUCCAGGCGAAAACCCGUAAGAUUAAACAGCUGGGCACCACCCUGAAGGUGUGGUUCUACCUUUAACAACGGGCGCUUACGGCCAGUUCACCCCUGCACCUGCCGUCCACUCCAGCUGCUGCCUACUCUUAUCUUUCCUUUCUUUGGAAGGCAAAUAAAAUUUUCAUUUGUCUUUAAAGUUGUUCAUUUUAGUGUUUUUAUUAUUGUUAUAAAAAUAUUAUGUUGGGGCCGGCGCUGUGAAGUAGUGGGUAAAGCCACUGCCUAAAGUGCCGGCAUCCCACAUGGGCGCUGGUUUGAGUCCCGGCUG